rnacentral:sRNA from 1 species
CAGGCGGUGAUAAUGUGUACAGUGCUAUUUCAGAGGCCAAUCUAAUCAGGGACAAUAUUUGGGAAAAUACAUAUGCCCAACUAUUAGAGCUGACGUCGAGAAUCCUCUGUCGAGCCGAUCCAUAUUAUUAUCAAUGGUGACUCGCCCUGCAAACAGGUGUUGCUCAAUGGUGAGUCUAGAAACUGCCAUAAUCCAUCACAAUUCCCCUGUAUCAUGUACGUUUCCAGUUAGGUACGUGACUUCAACAUAGGAUCUCAGGAGCUGAGGAAGGGAAUAUGAAAAGCCAUAUAUCAUAUAUAUACCAGCUAUGAAAGAAGAGAAAGAUGGCAGCACUUGUGGCCAUGCUUUUUAGCAGUAGUCGUAGCUAAGUUGGUUAUUGCCAAUGACAAUACCUUCUUAUGUGACUCCUCUUUCUCCCCAACGCCUCAGCACGAGGAGGAAUAUGUCGACGGAAAGACAGGGCCAAUUUGGGAUUUUGUCGCCGACGAGCCCUUCCAUAAUCAUCAGCCCAGCCGAGAGGAAUGGAAUGCCAAGAUGAAGAGAUAUGGCCCUCAAACAGGGAGGGGACAUAUAUUUAAAGGAG